CUCUUGGCCUGUGGUUCCGCUCCUGUUUGUUCUCCUCACUUCUCUCCCUACCCGGACCUUCUCCAAAUACACCCUGCUGGAUCUACCAAGCCAAGUGUCCUCUCGUCCAUCUGAACUGAAACUUCUGAAUUUUUUUCAUGUCCAAAGUCAAUCUUACAAGGUGACCAUUUGUGAGCAUUUGCAAUGGGAGUGUUUCCACUGAUUUGUAGGAGACUGGAUGCACAUUAAGAGUCACCACAGCAUCAGAACAGCAGUCUUGCAAUAGAACAGAAACAGAAAUUUGCAAAGAAAAGUAAAGAGAAAGACAAAAAACUAAAUCAACUACUUAAAACUUCUGUUGAUUUUUUUUAAAUGGCUUUUUGCUUUCUUACUCAGCCAUUUCUUGGCUUCUGAAUGCCUUGUGGUUGUCUCAUUCAUGCUUAGUUUUUGCCUUUUCUGCUCUUGGAUUCAUCUUUUGCUUGAAGAAAAAACUGAUAAAACAAUGUAGCUAUUCCUACUACUUUCUCCUCUUUCAUUUCAAAGGUGGAUUUAAUUAAUGCAGAAUACUUGUUUCUUUAAUUGAUUUUUAUAACUACAUAAAGUAGUUUUUACCAAAUUUAGAAAGAUAGGAUAUCUUUAAAAGGCAUUCAAAAUUACUGAUAUCUCAGGAUCUGUGGGGUUUUUUAAUAUUACUUAUAGCAUUUAUUACAUAUCUGUAUUGAUUCAAGCUUCCAGAUACAAAGCUAUCACUAAAAAAAAAUGAAAUCAUAAUUGAUUGUAUGUUUAGAUGCAGAAUUAGGAAGUAAUUUGCAACUUGGCAGCUGAAAGAAAAUUGUAUCAAGGCAUGAGACCAGCUGGUUUUAUGUGAAAACAAAGAGCAAUAGAUCCAAAGUGUACAAGAUUUUCCUGGUGACUGAGCACACAUCACAGUGACAUGACAAUGUAACUGUAUUUAAUAGUCAUAUCACUCUGCAAAUAUUUGUUGACUGUAACUGGGGAGAUGAAGAAAAAAGAAAAGUAGGAUUUCCAAUACUAUGUGUAGAAUCAGACUUGUGGGAUUUAUGGUGCAGCAAAAGUGCUGACUCUUUCUAGAGAGGGUAUUUUAAGAAAGUCUCUGACAAAAACAGUGGCUCAUAUUACUGGGAAAAUUAGUAGAUCCUUUUUCAGAAAAGUGGUUGAUGUGCAAGUAUAGUUAAUUCAGUCCAAAAUUCACAUUCUGUUUUCAGGUUGUUUUUCCUUAACGUUCACAAUUAACCCCCUUUUCAUAGCUUAAACAGAAAUGAGGGAUUAUUGUGCAAUUACAUGCAGAGAGGAAACUUAGAUUUUAAAUCAUGUUCAUAGGGUUUUUAGGGGGUGUAUUUUAAAGUAGAACCCAAAAUACUUUUUCUAGUUAACACCUAAAUAAUAAAAUUUAAAAAUCAAAUUAACAAGAAACAUACAGUUCUCUAUGGGUAUGAAAAUAAUUUCUAUUGAGUUACUGAAAUUUGAAACAUAUGAAUUUGUUGCCCAUUUGUAAGACUUACAUAUUUUAAAAGAGUAUACAUCAAAAGAUAAACCAAAAAAAUUAUCUGAGAUAUACAUAUUUUCUGACCUGUUCAUUGUAGACAUGUUCAUUUAAAAAAAAAAGGAAGCAGAAAAAAAAUCAAUGCAAAAAACCUCUAGAUUUGAAGAACUAAAUGGGUUACAAGAAUGAUAUAUCAGGUUUAUGUGUGGGCUUUUAGUGAUAGUAAAGUUACUUUUAAUUAGGACAAAAUGUAGAAGGAAGACAAACAAACUCAAAUCCUUCCAUAAAUUAUUUUCUGCAGUUGUGCUCUGUUUAGGAUCAAGAUCUGUUUUUAAGUAAACUCAAGGGUAAUAUGAGAUGUGAUCGAAUUUUAGAGUACUGCAAUGACCUAGUGAAAAAAAAAAGAGAAAAAAUAAUUCAUACUUCAUGGUCUCAUCAAGAAUUUAAUUUACUCUUCAUUUCUGUGUAUUAGUAUCUAGGAACCUCUGACCCUCUUCAGUCAUUCAUCAGAAGAAAUGCUUAAAACUGACAGCUGAACUUUGCAUUCAAAUCAUGAUUUAAUAUUCGAAGUUAAGCUUAAGCAUGAAAGGCAGCUAAAUGGUCAAAUAAAUGGAUAAUUACGCUUCCAUAUUGAAAGACGCAUAAUAUAUUUCCAUUACAAAGCCAAGCAGGGUUGUUUAUUCAACAUCGGAUUUAUCCUUAAACAAGGGCAAGAAGAACAGAUUUGAAACAGAAGAGUGCCCUGUGUUUAUCAAAUAUUCUUAUCUUGAAUACAGCUUUGUAACAAAUCCCCAUGCUUCUCUUAAUAUGCUGACAUUUUAUCCAUCAAAGGAAUGUUGUUAAUGAA